AGGGAAAGGAAAAGGCACUGAAGAUACAUGGAAAUCAAACAAGUAUGAGAUGCAUGAGCAUGUGCCAUGGAAGGAAGUUCAGAGGAGGGAGGCAAAGGAGUAACAAAAUUGCCAGACCAAUAUUGAGUUUGGAAAUUAAAUCUAGCUCACUACAAACCCAAAUGUGCAUUUGUUUUCUAUGUGUUUUGAUUCACUCUUGAAUUGUUUUCAUUUAUAAAAGUCAUGGGCCUCUACCACAGUUGGAGAGAAUGCAUCCCAGAGGACAGCAAUGGAGCUGUUGAAUUCAAGUGACCAUAACAGCAGAGGUAAUAGAGUAGAAGAAAUAGAAAAUAACACAAAAAGGACUAAGGAGGUGCCGCAGUCUGGCUGGGCACAAAAUCACGAGCCACUCAAGCAGGAACAAAGUUUAUUUUUUGAAACUGCCGCCAAUGUCCAGUACCGCCCGGGCAGAUUUUUUCCACCCACGCGGCCUCCUCUUGGACCUGCAGAGAGAGCUCCUCCCCCGGAACUCCCUCCUACUGUACUUCCCCAACCAAUGGGAACUCUCCAGGAGUCCCAUAGCCGGCCUAGGUGAACAGCAGGAGUCCAAUAUCCAUAUGAAUGCAAAUCUUAACAUAAUCAUAUCAUCUCAAUGGCUAGCUGGCGUCACCUUUCGACCAAAAAUGCCAUGCAUCAUAUACUUGGCUCUUAGCAAGGAGGCUGCAGGAGUGGAUGGCAUUGGGAGGACCACACGAGCCCACUUGGGAAGAGGCUCAUUCCUUAGGGGAACCUUGAGAUGACUAGAGCCCCAGCUUGAAUCUCAACUGUAGCCUGUGAGAGACAGAAGCAAAGGAUCUGCUAAAUCACACCUGGAUUCAAGUGAUCUUCAGAAACUAUAUAAGCUAGCCUGGAACCAUUUAGAGAAAGAUUAUCCUCUCCCUGUAAUUGCAGUGACUUGGCUGUCCAUUGCUCAGCAAGGAGCCUCCAGGAAGCACAUGAGGACAGGAAGUAGCAGGCAAGAGGAAGUGACCCUAGAGCAAUAGCUGUGCAAGGACUGAGGUUUGUUCCCUCAGUUCCAGAAACAACACAAGCACACAUUUCAGACAUGAUGGUAAAGUGCUAUCUUGCUUUAGAUAUGAGGUGUUCCCCAAAAGCUCGUGUUUAAGACGAUGAAAGACAGUUUAGAGGUGAAAUGAUUGGGUUAUGAAAGCUUUAACCUAAUCAGUGAAUUGAUGCACUGAUAUGGAAUGGCUAGAAGAGGUGGGUCACUGUGGGAGAACUUUGGGGUUUAUAUUUUGUUCUGGUAAGCAGAACUCUCUCCCUCUGCUUCCUGGUGCCUGGCCUGCUCUGCUUUCUUAUGCCAUGCCUUUCCACUCUGGUGAUCAGCCUCAUCAUUGGCCCAGAGCAAUGGAUACAAUGGAUUUGGUUGUCUGUGCUCUGAAGCUUUGAAACCGAGAAACAAUUAAACUUUUCUUCCUCUACAUUUUUUUCUUGUCAGGUUAUUUGGUGACAGCAACAAAAAGAAAGUUGACAAACAAAGAUGAACUCUUGUGUCCCUUGUAGAGGUCUUUAUUGCAGGCUUAAGUGAACACAUCAGGAGGAGCAGCACAUUGUGGUAAUGUCUGGCAUAAGUUUUCUCCCCACAGCCGUCUCUGGACCAAAUGGAGAUGCUGAGCCACCUGAGGUACAGCUCUCCUGCACCACACACCAUGAGGCUAUCUGCACUUCUUCCUGAUACCUUUGUCCAUCCAUUAUUGUGAAAUUAAUAUUUUUUGUUAAUUUCUUGUCUUUGCUUUCCACAUUUACCUUCUCUGAAAAAGUACUCAUAUGUCACUAACAAUGCUCUUUGCAUAUCAAUAAAAAUAUUUACAUGUGCA